GGAUUUUUUUUAUUUUAAUUUAUUUUUAAAAAAUUAAUUUUUUUUAAUCCAAUAUAUUUUUUUAUUAUAAAAAUUUUAAAUAUAUAAUUUUUUAUAUGUGAAUUUUAAAAUUUACCACAUAGAUUGGUUGGAAUUUUAAAAUCUAACAUAGAAUAAUUACAUAGUAAAAAAAAAAUUUUAAAAGGCUGAAUAGAUGAUUCAAAAUGAUUCACUGUUUAGAAAAAUUUUAUUUUAUUUUAUUUUGAUUUUAAUAUCAAACUUUAAUAUUACAAUCUGAUAAGCGAUCAAUUUUACAUCUACAAUUUUUGAAAUAUCCAAAAUAUGAUUGGUCGACUCUUAAUUUUAACAAUUACGCAUUAUAAAAUUUAUUAGAUAGUUUAAAAUAUUUUUUUCUCGAAUAAAAAGACUAAUUGAAUAAGUAACCGCAGAAAAUAUAUCGUAACCAAAUAAUUGUGAAUAUGCUGAACACAAUAUUACGUACAGAAACAAACAAGAUAUUUUUCAAUAAUAAUUUCUCACAACAUGUAACACAAUCUCUCCGUAAUCCCAAAUAAAGCUUAAGACCCAUCACAAUUGUUCUAAAUAUAUUAUUAUAUAUAUUUAUUUAUAUAUAUAUUUUAUAUUUUA
rnacentral:lncRNA from 1 species